rnacentral:rRNA from 1 species
UACGUAGGGUGCGAGCGUUGUCCGGAAUUAUUGGGCGUAAAGAGCUUGUAGGUGGUUUGUCGCGUCUGCUGUGAAAAUCCGAGGCUCAACCUCGGACUUGCAGUGGGUACGGGCAGACUAGAGUGUGGUAGGGGAGACUGGAAUUCCUGGUGUAGCGGUGGAAUGCGCAGAUAUCAGGAGGAACACCGAUGGCGAAGGCAGGUCUCUGGGCCAUUACUGACACUGAGAAGCAGAAAGCAUGGGGAGCGAACAGG